GACGAACGCUGGCGGCGUGCUUAACACAUGCAAGUCGAACGGAAAGGCCCCCUUGUGGGGUACUCGAGUGGCGAACGGGUGAGUAACACGUUAGUAACCUACCCUUGACUUUGGGAUAACUUCAGGAAACGGGGGCUAAUACCGGAUAGGAGCUCCUGCUGCAUGGUGUGGGGUGGAAAGUUUCGGCGGUUGGGAUGGACGCGCGGCUUAUCAGCUUGUUGGUGGGGUAGUGGCUCACCAAGGCUUUGACGGGUAGCCGGCCUGAGAGGGUGACCGGCCACAUUGGGACUGAGAUACGGCCCAGACUCCUACGGGAGGCAGCAGUGGGGAAUAUUGCACAAUGGGCGGAAGCCUGAUGCAGCAACGCCGCGUGAGGGAUGACGGCCUUCGGGUUGUAAACCGCUUUCGCCUGUGACGAAGCGUGAGUGACGGUAAUGGGUAAAGAAGCACCGGCUAACUACGUG
rnacentral:rRNA from 1 species